rnacentral:rRNA from 1 species
AUGGUGGAAGAUCGGAGUAAAAAAGAGCAAUUUGGCCUCUCCUUCUCCCUCCUGUGUCUGACAUGCGUGCUGUGCUGCUUGCACACCGUCCAGGGCUACGUUGGCAACAAAUCUGCUGUCUUUCCGUUGCAACUCCUUGGUUUUGAUGUGGAUCCGAUAAACUCUGUACAGUUUUCUAAUCAUACAGGAUAUCCAAAAUUUAGAGGACAGGUUCUCAAUGGCAAUCAGCUGUGGGAUCUUAUUGAAGGACUCGAGGAAAAUGAAUUAUUGCACUAUACACAUUUGUUAACAGGUUACAUCGGCUCUGUUUCCUUUUUAAAUACAGUGCUACAAGUCGUCGACAAAUUACGAUCAGUCAAUCCUGAUCUUAUAUACGUUUGCGACCCGGUUCUAGGUGAUGAAGGCAAACUAUAUGUUCCUCAGGAUUUAGUAUCUGUUUAUCAGGAGAAGGUCGUCCCAGUUGCUUCAAUGCUUACACCAAACCAAUUUGAAGUUGAACUACUCACAGGAUUAAGAAUUACUUCUGAACAAGAUGGCUUGAAAGCUUGCAAUACCCUGCACAGUGCUGGACCACGGAAGGUGAUAAUAACCAGUGCACUUAUUGAAGACAAGCUGCUCCUCAUCGGAAGUUACAAAAGAACAGAGGAACAACCGCCGGAACAAUUUAAGAUUGAGAUACCCAAGAUACCUGCAUAUUUCACGGGGACCGGAGAUUUAACAACUGCUCUUCUACUAGGAUGGAGCAAUAAAUACCCUGAUAACCUUGAGAAAGCGGCGGAACUGGCAGUAUCCAGUUUGCAGGCACUCCUAAGAAAGACAGUUGAAGACUAUAAAAGAGCAGGCUUUGACCCAUCAAGCAGCAGCUUAGAGAUCAGAUUGAUACAAAGCCAGGAUGAGAUCAGAAACCCGCAGGUCACGUGCAACGCCGUGAAGUAUAAAUGA